rnacentral:rRNA from 1 species
AACGAACGCUGGCGGCAGGCUUAACACAUGCAAGUUGAACGGUAUUGUUAGGUAGCUUGCUAUUUGACAAGAGAGUAGCGCACUGGUGAGUAACACGUGGGAACGUACAUUGUAGUGGGGAACAACAGAGGGAAACUUCUGCUAAUACCGCAUAAUCCCUGAGGGGGAAAGAUUUAUCGCUAUAAUAUCGGCCCGCGGAAGAUUAGGUAGUUGGUGGGGUAAAGGCCUACCAAGCCUACGAUCUAUAGCUGGUCUGAGAGGACGAUCAGCCACAUUGGAACUGAGACACGGUCCAG